AGUGAGGCAUUCUGAAAUUUUACUGAAGCUCUAAAACUUAACAGCUAUGGAAAUGGGAAAGAGCCGAGGUCAGAAUGAGAAACACAUCCCCACAGGAGUUCUGACCAUCAGUAACAUGAAUUAGCUGGUGUGCACUCUGCUCUGUAACCCUGGAAUCUCCUUUCUACUCGGAGGGAACCAGAGGUACAGCAUGAAGAAGUAUGCCCUUUGGAAAUGUAAAUGAAUACAGUUAAGAGGCUACACCACCCUUUAAAAGAGUUCUUCUGAUCUCUUAGGAGCUUUACAUUUUGAAGAACAUGGAUGGAUGAGAAACUUGAUGUGGAUUAGAGAAGGACUCCUUCUGUCACCCAGGCUGAGGUGCAAUGGCCUGAUCACAGUUCACUGCAGCCUUGAAUUCUUAGACUCAAGCUACUCAUCCACCUCAGCCUCCCAAGUAGCUGGGACUACAGGCUCACACCACCUCACCUGGGUACUUUCUCUCUUUUAAAAAUUUUAUUUGUUAUCUUUUUCAAUUUUAAUGAAAAUUUUAUACAUAUAUAUGUAACCCAUCAGUUAAUAUAAUUUGCUUGUAUAUGUUAUAUAAAAGGUCACUUCCUCUUGAAUUUGCAAAAUAGUUGUUUGCUUAGCAUGAAUGCCAACAAUAUUUUUUUAAAUUUAAAGAUAGCCUACUCUCAUAUAGAGCAGAUUUUUUUAAUAUAUAAAAAUAAUUCCAAAUUUUAUUUUAUUUUCUGUUGCAAAGGCAAAUAAUCUUGGAAGUCUCUUUUAAAAGUUAAAUCAAUGCCAUAAUAUACUCAAAUUGUUACAAAGAACAGUCUAUUGUAACACCCUGUGAUUUACUGAUAGCAAUGAAGAGUGUGGACUUUGGGGCCAGGAAUCCUUGCUUCAAUUAUUAGUUCUACUACACACUAACCACACGAUCUUAGGCUAAUGUCUUAACCUCAUUUCCUAUCUGCGUAAUUGCAUAAGAAUGCUAUCAACUCAUGCGUCAGUGCUCCUCAAGUGUUUAUGACAGCGAUAAUGUAUAAUACAAUAAGAACUCACCAAACGUUUAAGACACUAUUUCUUAAAAAUCAAGACAGUGAAAACUUCUUCCUUAGCUGUCCGUUUUUCUGCUAUAGUAGGUUCAAAAUUAUUUUUCAGGUAGCCCUAGCCCUGUAUAAGCUAUUCAUCUGACCUCUCUCAGAGGAGCUGGAAUAGUCCUCUCUUCAGAACAUGUCCAUGUUGUGGUCCUUGGGUCCCCUAACCCUUCUCCCUUCUCAUCUGUCAGUUAAGGCUUUGCCUUUAAAUGCUAACAUAGAGCUACAUUUUAAGAGCCCAUAAUUCAAUAUGGAAACAAACUCCCUGGCACACUCUAUUUCUUGAAAGAUUAUCAAAGAGAAUCAACAAUUGGAAGGAAGUGUUGCCGAGAAGCUGGUUGCAUCAAAUGGUUUCUCUAUAGGAACUUUUGUAGAAAUUGCACUUGCUUGUAAUGGCACUGGUCUACCCUGAGAGACCUUUUUAAGAAAAAAGAGAUCCUAAACCUUUGAAGAUAUUCACUCCAUUACACAGCAUCUUCUUUUUGAGAACCCUUAGGACACAACUUUUUUUCUGAUACUAAUAUUAGAAAUACUGUCACUUUACUGUAUUUGGUGUUUGUCUUAAGGGCUAUGUGAAAGACAUGAUUUACUAGAUUUUCUUCCCUGAGUUUUCUGUUAAACAGCUUAGAGGCAAAAUUGUGGUCAGUUUAUGGCAAGUGUAUAGAAUUGUAUAAUAUAAAAUUUUGACUAGCCUCAUUUGUGGGUGGAUUUUCAUGUUUUAUCUUGUAUUUGCUUACUUUUCUUACCUUACUCAAUUUAUUCUAUUUAGGUGUAUUGUACAUUUCUUAUAAAGCCACCUGAAUUUGCUUUUGGAACAAUAUGACUUAGUAUUUAAUAACUAUGUCACUUACAGUGAAAAUUAUAAGCCUCUUCAUAAUUUUAUAAAGUACCAUGGUAUGUAACUAAUAAAAAAGUAAUAAUUAAAAUAUAAA
rnacentral:sRNA from 1 species